ACUGAGGUCCUUAUCAGAAUAGAAGCACGAGGCCCCGUACUCGUAGGACGCCCGGUUGCAGGCCAGGACCGAGUUGGACUGUUGGUAGAAACAAGAGUUCCACCCACGUACCUAGUCCCUCUCCCCGCGCUUCAGACACCCCUGUCAUCGGAAAACCGCGUGAAGGCAAGCAGACAAUCAGCAGAGGAACCUGGCUGAAUUAAUGGCGGCUCCCAGAAGCUCCUACCCCUCUGACAGCUGUCGCUUGGGCAGCCGGGGAGACGAAUCGUCCUCCUUCCUGGUGCCAGAGGACGCGGAAAUUAGCCAGGUUGC